GAUGAACGCUGGCGGCGUGCCUAAUACAUGCAAGUCGAGCGAACGGACGAGAAGCUUGCUUCUCUGAUGUUAGCGGCGGACGGGUGAGUAACACGUGGAUAACCUACCUAUAAGACUGGGAUAACUUCGGGAAACCGGAGCUAAUACCGGAUGAUAUUUUGAACCGCAUGGUUCAAAAGUGAAAGACGGUCUUGCUGUCACUUAUAGAUGGAUCCGCGCUGCAUUAGCUAGUUGGUAAGGUAACGGCUUACCAAGGCAACGAUGCAUAGCCGACCUGAGAGGGUGGUCGGCCACACUGGAACUGAGACACGAUCCAGACUCCUACGGGAGGCAGCAGUAGGGAAUCUUCCGCAAUGGGCGAAAGCCUGACGGAGCAACGCCGCGUGAGUGAUGAAGGUCUUCGGAUCGUAAAACUCUGUUAUUAGGGAAGAACAUAUGUGUAAGUAACUGUGCACAUCUUGACGGUACCUAAUCAGAAAGCCACGGCUAACUACGUG
rnacentral:rRNA from 1 species